UUCUCAAAGGCAAAAAUCCCUAGUCGAUAACAUCUAUACCCACAAAAUUUCCCUUAGGCAAAGAAACAUCCCUAAUAGAUAACUAUGUUGCCAAAUUUUUUCUUUCUAAUUCUUUGCUCCUUCUCGCACUUUGUGAUCCCUUUGCAAGAUAGCGUUCCUCCCAAACUUUAAUUUCCAGGCUGAAAUAAAAAAGAUACAAUCAACACAACAAAGUGAAGAUAUCGGUCAAUUAGUUGAUACAUUUGCAUUCGUCAUAAGACCUGAGCAUCCAUGCCGCGUAAGAUUGUAUGGAUGUGGGGUUUCCAAGGCUGCCUUAAAAAAAGUGGGAGAUAUUGGACUCUUUUAAGUUCUACUGAUGAGAUGAUGUAGCAAAAAGUAGAAGAAAUAGAAUAUAAGAUUCAUCAAAGAAUGCAAGAAAAGUUCAAUGCACAAAAGGAUGCUAUGGAAAGAGAAUUACAAUUAACGUCGUCGCACAACUUCAGCGUCUGAGCCCAGAAUGAUCCUAACAUGUUCGCUUUUAGUGCUCGUUCACCUGGAUAAACUUACUCUGCACAACAAGUUGCUAUUCAACUAAUCAAUCUUCUAUCUACCGGUAGUAACGAUCUGAUUCAGGCAUCGUAGAGUCCGCUCCUGCGUGCUGAUUCUCCCAGUUCAGGCAGUGAUUCGGAGACUACGAGGUAGUUGUUGGCGUUUGCAACCCCGUGCCUCCCUUAUCUUA